UUCCACUUUGAGGAGUCGAAUGUCAACCAAAAGGCACCAAACUGGAUGCUGUCUGUGCCAUCUGUUGCAUAUUUGGAGACAAUAAUAAUCCAUGUCGUGGACUGGGGAGAGACACUCGACUAUAUUUUUGGUUUAAAAAAAAAAAAGGGGGGGGGGGGGGGAAACCCUGUUGAGUUUGUGUUUGUUUCCUGCUUUACAUUAUUGCCUACACACUAUUUCAAAGAAACACAGUUAGUCUGACUUGCCUUCAACCAGACAUUUCUCAUAAAAAUGGCUGGUUUAUGUUUGGGUUUUUAUGACUGAUGUGAAGAACAGAUGUGCUGAAUAAAUAAAUAAGGUUUUCAUA